rnacentral:tRNA from 1 species
AAAGAGGCAGGCAGCAGUAAGGAUUGCUAAUCCUUAACCCCCGAGGUUAAAGCCCU